AACUACUUAAUCUGACUCAAAACCAAAUUAACUGAAAAAAAUCAAAUUAGGGAAUGAAUUAAGGUUCAAUGACAGAGAAAAAGAGAAGGGAAAGAGACAUUUCAUCGCUUCUUCUCAGGUGCUCCGUGCUCUAUUACUCAUUGUUCUCUUCCACUCUCCCUAUCCUGUAUUUUUAUGGUCAGUCCGCUCAAUGGUUUCUCCCAGGAAAAUUUCAUGGUUCGUUUACUUCUUUUUUUUAGUGUUCGGAUUUAGAUUUAUUUGCAGAUUUUCCUUUCUUACUUUGUAUGUGCAAUAACAUUUUUUCAGUGAAUCCAUCACCAAAAAGAUAGAGAAGAUUGGGUGGGUUCGGGUUUAGUUCACAGUCGGGUCUGGUUAUUUUAAUCUUCAUUUUUACUGGUUUAUUAACUCAAUCACAAUUUUCAGUGGCUACGUUGCUAUAUAGCAAAAUGCAAAGUGUUUUGCCAAAAUGACGAGAAAGAAUAAGCCUUUAUUAAUCAACGAAUACUAAGUUAUAAUGAAUCAAUAUCUAAUAUCUAGGUAAGCUAGUAUUGUCUGUCACUCGUUAUUGGUUGUUGAUUGGCAUAGAACGAAGCUGCGACGAGGUAUGUCGCUCAUUAUUGGUUGUCGAUUGGCAAAGAAACCAGAAGAUGAAGAUCACAAAUUAUGAGAAGGUGAAGAUGCUGAAGGAGGCUAAGAAAACCAGAAGAAUUAGAAGCCAAAUGUGAUGUGUAAAGAUAAGUCGAAGAGAUUAUUUAGAAGCGACAAAGAUGGUUUUAUGGCGCAGCAAUGUGUGACUGAUAAGAAGAAAGAGAAGAAAAAGAAGGUGAAGAUGUUUCAAAGUAAACUAAACCAAAAGAAAGUGUGAAGGUGAUGUUGAAGGAGAUAAGACUAAACUUAUCUGUUGUGGAAUUAUUUUUCAAGAAAUAGUAUACGAAGAAAAAUAUUUUUGAGAUAAACCAAGAAAGGUCUAGAAAAGGAAUCUACAGAGAGAGAGUUAAAGUCUUUGUAAAAUAUAAUUAAUCAAUAUAUCUUUGUUAGUUCGUCUUGUCAGUGUUUCUAACUACUUUUUAACUUAGUUAAUAAGAAAAUUAAAUCUUUUAGGGACAUGUAGUUGUAGUUUCGGUAUUGGUGGUCUAAUUUUUUAACUUACUUAUAUGCUUAUAGAAAGAUACAUGAAGACAAUGAUAGAAACAAUGAAGAAUUUUUGACGGUGAAGAAAUAUAUGAUUGAUAUGAAGAAUGACAAUAAGAAGAAAGAGUUGGUGAUUGUUGGGGAUAAAUUGAAUCUUUCC
rnacentral:lncRNA from 1 species